GCCUAACACAUGCAAGUCGAGCGGCAGCGACAACAUUGAACCUUCGGGGGAUUUGUUGGGCGGCGAGCGGCGGACGGGUGAGUAAUGCCUGGGAAUAUGCCUUAGUGUGGGGGAUAACUAUUGGAAACGAUAGCUAAUACCGCAUAAUGCCUACGGGCCAAAGAGGGGGACCUUCGGGCCUCUCGCGCUAAGAUUAGCCCAGGUGGGAUUAGCUAGUUGGUGGGGUAAAGGCUCACCAAGGCGACGAUCCCUAGCUGGUCUGAGAGGAUGAUCAGCCACACUGGAACUGAGACACGGUCCAGACUCCUACGGGAGGCAGCAGUGGGGAAUAUUGCACAAUGGGGGAAACCCUGAUGCAGCCAUGCCGCGUGUAUGAAGAAGGCCUUCGGGUUGUAAAGUACUUUCAGUCGUGAGGAAGGUUGUGUAGUUAAUAGACUGCACAUUUGUNCGUUAGCGACAGAAGAAGCACC
rnacentral:rRNA from 1 species